CUACGUGCCAGCAGCCGCGGUAAUACGUAGGGCGCGAGCGUUGUCCGGAAUUAUUGGGCGUAAAGAGCUUGUAGGCGGUUUGUCGCGUCUGCUGUGAAAGGCCGGAGCUUAACUCCGUGUAUUGCAGUGGGUACGGGCAGACUAGAGUGCAGUAGGGGAGACUGGAAUUCCUGGUGUAGCGGUGGAAUGCGCAGAUAUCAGGAGGAACACCGAUGGCGAAGGCAGGUCUCUGGGCUGUAACUGACGUUGAGGCACGAAAGUGUGGGGAGCAAACAGGAUUAGAUACCCUGGUAGUCCACACCGUAAACGAUGGAUACUAGGUGUUGGCAAUGAAUAAUUGUCGGUGCCGGCGCUAACGCAAUAAGUAUCCCACCUGGGGAGUACGACCGCAAGGUUGAAACUCAAAGGAAUUGACGGGGGCCCGCACAAGCAGUGGAGUAUGUGGUUUAAUUCGAAGCUACGCGAAGAACCUUACCAAGGCU
rnacentral:rRNA from 1 species